GACUUCAACGCCACAAAUAUGGGGCUUUAUCAGGCUAUAAAGUGAACUGGGAUAAGUCUGAACUCCUCCCCCUAGUUCGAGCUCCCCCUGAUGGAGUAUCAGCUAUUAGACCACUUGGCCUCACCGAUUCUAUUCGUUAUCUGGGUAUUAGUAUUAGUGCAGAUCUGACUAG